rnacentral:rRNA from 1 species
AUUGAACGCUGGCGGCAUGCCUUACACAUGCAAGUCGAACGGCAGCACGGGAGCAAUCCUGGUGGCGAGUGGCGAACGGGUGAGUAAUACAUCGGAACGUGCCCAGUAGUGGGGGAUAGCCCGGCGAAAGCCGGAUUAAUACCGCAUACGACCUAUGGGUGAAAGCGGGGAUCGCAAGACCUUGCGCUAUUGGAGCGGCCGAUGUCAGAUUAGCUAGNGGUGGGGUAAAGCCUACCAAGGCGACGAUCUGUAGCUGGUCUGAGAGGACGACCAGCCACACUGGGACUGAGACACGGCCCAGACUCCUACGGAGGCAGCAGUGGGGAAUUUUGGACAAUGGGCGCAAGCCUGAUCC